GUGAAGCUAUCCUCAUCAGUAGUGCUGCCAUGGAUAUAUUCAGGAAAUAAGGAUUUCAAGGUUGAUUUUGAUGACCAAUCAGUCGUUUUUCUAAUAUCACUUAACUUCACUUAAAGUGCCUCCUGCUAGAAAAACUUUUGUAGCCAUGUCAGCCCUAGAUGCAUGCGCUCCAAAUUUUGAAACACCAAUACCCACUAAAUUCAUAGUGUUUCAAGCUAAGCAGUGGCAUACAUAUAGG